UACGGAGGGGGCGAGCGUUAUUCGGAUUUAUUGGGCGUAAAGGGCGCGCAGGCGGUUUUUUAGGUCGGAUGUGAAAUCCCGCGGCUCAACUGCGGAAGUGCAUUCGAAAUCGGAAAACUUGAGUAUGGGAGAGGGAAACGGAAUUCCCGGUGUAGCGGUGUAAUGCGUAGAUAUCGGGAGGAACACCUGUGGAGGAAGCGGUUUCCCGGACCAAUACUUACGCUGAGGCGCGAAGGCGCGGGGAUCAAACAGG
rnacentral:rRNA from 1 species